GGAAAAACCGGGCCGUAAAGGACUUCACAGUCUAAGCUUGUUAUUAAGUUUUAGAUGAGGUCAUGUGAUUCAAGUUGCUGUCGACUGCUUGAUUUGCUGCAGUUUUCUGUCGUGUCUUCCUAGCAAAUCUGCUCAAGCAACAAGGUGAUACUGGGUGUUAUGGCCGCUAAGAAGUUGGAUCUAUCUAAGCUGACUGACGAGGAGGCCAAUCAUGUGUGGAAAGUCGUUCAGCGUGACUUCCACCUGAGGAAGAAAGAGGAAGACAGGCUGGGGGAUCUGAAGACCAAGAUUUGGAAAGAGGACUCAAAGCGAGAGUUGUUGUGUCGUCACCCGUGCUUGAGCGAGUCUUACUGCAUCCGCUGCAUCAAACCCUUCAAGUUUCUCGUUAACAGCAAGCGUCGAUGCCUGGACUGUCAGCUGUUCGUCUGCAAAGCCUGCAGUCGCUGGAAUAAACGACAGCGUGGCUUUGUAUGUGAUCCCUGUCACAUGACCAGGGUUCUAAAGAUUGGGACGCUGGAAUGGUACCAUGAGAACGUGCAGGCACGCUUUAAGCACUUCGGCAGCGCUAACGUGAUGCGCUCUCUUUUCAAGAGGCUGAGUGGAAAACACACAUGCUCUGCUGAUGAAGAUGAAAAACUUGGUGACUACGACACACAGAGCAACCCUGAACUUCACACAGCAGUUGGAUUUGAAGAUGCUGGCAUGGAUGUCAUUGAUUCUCAACACUACCAUCAGAUGAAAAAAAACAGAUGGCGUCUGACUGUUAAUCCCAUUGAUAUCGGUGACCUUUGUGACGUCAGAGCAAGACAAUUUAAUCAGGAUCAAAGUACAAGUGAAGACUUCAACAUGGAUGUUGGGUCUGAUGGUGGAUUGCCUUCACAACAAGAAGAUGCUGUGUACUCAGACCAGCCAAGUGUUGCAUCUCGCUCCACGUCACGCCUCAGCUGCUCUACAUGUGGAAGUGCAGGAUUUCUUCAGAACAGAACUUUCUACACUUUGGGUCCUGAUGACUACGAGUGUGACUUUGAUCUCAGACAGUCCGAUGCCGUCUACUCGUCUCAAGAAUUUCAACACACCUCCCAGGACAGCCUCAACAACCCCAACCCUCACCCACCACAGAUGAAUGAGUUGGUCAGGCAGAUGUCAGCUGUUGAGAUGCUUUUGAACCGCUUGCAGGUCACCUUGACAUUUCAUCAGACCAGUGAAGCUUCUCAGGUUCCAGACCGAGCUUCUUCUCCUCACGAGUGGGAAGAGGUGGAAAUGGAGGAGCAUCAACUUCGACAAAAACUGAAAGAGAUGACGGGCGACAUCAGCGACCGUAGUCUGAGUUGUGAUGAGGACGAGGCCAAGUUGCAAGAGGAGGUAGUAGCACAGGAAGACACAACUCUCACAUCUUCAAGGAGCAGCAUUGUGGUCUCCAACCCUCAGAAGAGAAACUCUUCUAUUGAAAGCCUUAAAAAUAAAAGUCACUUGCCUGAUGACGAGUCCAAGUCCAACUUCAAAAGUUCUACAGCUUUACUGUUUGAGCUGGAAGACAAGAUAGCCCAAGCUGCUGCUGAUGUGCAGAAUACUCAGACUCAGGUGUCUUACAUUGAGAACAGGAUGGCUGCUCUCAAUUCUGCUGGACUGCCGCUGGACAACAAACUAAAGAGCUGAUCUACAUGAGAAGAUCGUGUCUCUAAAUCUGGAAUCCAAACCAGAAGACUUUCCCAGAACUUUCCCACAAGAGGAAAUCAUGACACAAAACUCGGAAAGAGGAGACUCAGCUUGAUGUGAAACACCCAACGCUGUAACUAUUUACUGUACAUAAAUCAAAACAUACAUUAAAACUACUGUUUACUUGUUUAA